CCUACGGGUGGCAGCAGUGAGGAAUAUUUGUCAAUGGGCGCGAGCCUGAACCAGCCAAGUCGCGUGAGGGAGUACGGCUCUACGGGUUGUAAACCUCUUUUGCCGGGGAGCAACGGGCGUCACGUGUGGCGCCACUGAGAGUACCCGGAGAAAAAGCAUCGGCUAACUCCGUGCUAGCAGCCGCUGUACUACGGAGGAUGCGAGCGUUACCCGGAUCUAUUGGGUUUAAAGGGUGCGUAGGCGGAUCGAUAAGUCAGUGGUAAAAUGGAGGGGCUCAACCCCUUCCCGCCAUUGAAACUGGCGUUCUUGAGUGGAAGAGAAGUAUGCGGAAUGCGUGGUGUAGCGGUGAAAUGCAUAGAUAUCACGCAGAACCCCGAUUGCGAAGGCAGCAUGCCGGCUUCCGACUGACGCUGAAGCACGAAAGCGUGGGGAGCGAACAGGAUUAGAUACCCCAGUAGUC
rnacentral:rRNA from 1 species